GCCAGUGUAGCUCAGCAGGUAGAGCAAUCGCCUUGUAAGCGAUAGGUCAAGGGUUCGAGUCCCUUCACUGGCUCCA
rnacentral:tRNA from 1 species